GUCUAAAACGACUCUCGGCAACGGAUAUCUCGGCUCUUGCAUCGAUGAAGAACGUAGCGAAAUGCGAUACUUGGUGUGAAUUGCAGAAUCCCGUGAACCAUCGAGUCUUUGAACGCAAGUUGCGCCCGAAGCCAUUAGGCCGAGGGCACGCCUGCCUGGGUGUCACCUA
rnacentral:rRNA from 1 species